GGCCCUACGGGGUGCAGCAGGCGCGAAUACUCAGCAAUGCUUGAAAACGAGACGGGGCUACCCCGAGUGCCGGGGGAAAAGCCCGGCUUUUGCCCGGUGUAAGGAGCCUGGCGAAUAAGCGGGGGGUAAGUCUGGUGUCAGCCGCCGCGGUAAUACCAGCCCCGCGAGUGGUCAGGGUGAUUACUGGGCUUAAAGCGCCCGUAGCCGGCCCGGCAAGUCGCUCCUGAAAUCCCCGGGCUCAACCCGGGGGCGGGGGGCGAUACUGCCGGGCUAGGGGGCGGGAGAGGCCGCCGGUACUCCGGGGGUAGGGGCGAAAUCCGAUAAUCCCCGGAGGACCACCAGUGGCGAAAGCGGGCGGCCAGAACGCGCCCGACGGUGAGGGGCGAAAGCCGGGGGAGCAAAGGGGAUUAGAUACCCCUGUAGUCCCGGCCGUAAACGAUGCGGGCUAGCUGUCGGCUGGGCUUAGGGCCCGGCCGGUGGCGUAGGGAAACCGUUAAGCCCGCCGCCUGGGGAGUACGGCCGCAAGGCUGAAACUUAAAGGAAUUGGCGGGGGGGCACCACAAGGGGUGAAGCUUGCGGCUUAAUCGGAGUCAACGCCGGAAACCUUACCCGGGGCGACAGCAGGAUGAAGGCCAGGCUAACGACCUUGCCGGACGAGCUGAGAGGAGGUGCAUGGCCGUCGUCAGCUCGUGCCGUGAGGUGUCUGGUUAAGUCCAGCAACGAGCGAGACCCCCACCCCUAGUUGCUUCCCCGCUCUUCGGGGCGGGGGGCACACUAGGGGGACUGCCGGCGUAAGCCGGAGGAAGGAGGGGGCCACGGCAGGUCAGUAUGCCCCGAAACCCCGGGGCUGCACGCGAGCUGCAAUGGCGGGGACAGCGGGAUCCGACCCCGAAAGGGGGAGGCAAUCCCGUAAACCCCGCCCCAGUAGGGAUCGAGGGCUGCAACUCGCCCUCGUGAACGUGGAAUCCCUAGUAACCGCGUGUCACCUACGCGCGGUGAAUACGUCCCUGCCCCUUGCACACACCGCCCGU
rnacentral:rRNA from 1 species